rnacentral:lncRNA from 1 species
GGAACAAUAAUGAAAACAACAAUAUAUCAACAACGGAAACUAUUUCAUGAAUAAUAACAUCCAGUCAAGGGAAAUAAUAUCAAAGCAAUAACAUCCCGGCAAGGGAGAAAUAUCAUAAACCUCUUCUCUUUUCCACAUUUACUUCAAAACUCAAUUUUAACUUGAGCCAAUGCUCUACAAUAUUCAACAACUCAAUGCUCAACUUGAGCCAACGCUCUACAAUGUUCAAUUACCAAUAAUACUUUCACAAGUCUUAUUAAUCAAUGGAAAUCAAUAUAUAACGCAUGAACAAUAUGAAACAGAGUAAUAUUAAUUAUAGUAUAAGACUCACUGGCAUGCUUGAGACCAACGUAUAGAUACUCGUCACCAUGCCUAUACGUUGUACUCAAC